rnacentral:rRNA from 1 species
CCUACGGGAGGCAGCAGUGGGGGAUAUUGCACAAUGGGGGAAACCCUGAUGCAGCGACGCCGCGUGUGGGAAGACGGUCUUCUGGAUUGUAAACCACUGUCCCCAGGGACGAAAAUGACGGUACCUGGGGAGGAAGCUCCGGCUAACUACGUGCCAGCAGCCGCGGUAAUACGUAGGGAGCAAGCGUUGUCCGGAUUUACUGGGUGUAAAGGGAGCGUAGGCGGGGAUGCAAGUUGGGUGUCAAAACUACCGGCUCAACCGAGAGUCGCACUCAAAACUGCAGCUCUUGAGUGAAGUAGAGGCAGGCGGAAUGCGUGGUGUAGCGGUGAAAUGCGUAGAUAUUAGGAGGAACACCAGUGGCGAAGGCGGCCUGCUGGGCUUUUACUGACGCUGAGGCUCGAAAGUGUGGGGAGCAAACAGGAUUAGAUACCCGAGUAGUC